rnacentral:rRNA from 1 species
AGUCGAACGGCAGCGCGGGGCAACCUGGCGGCGAGUGGCGAACGGGUGAGUAAUAUAUCGGAACGUACCCAAGAGUGGGGGAUAACGUAGCGAAAGUUACGCUAAUACCGCAUACGAUCUAUGGAUGAAAGUGGGGGAUUCGCAAGAACCUCAUGCUCCUGGAGCGGCCGAUAUCUGAUUAGCUAGUUGGUGAGGUAAAGGCUCACCAAGGCGACGAUCAGUAGCUGGUCUGAGAGGACGACCAGCCACACUGGAACUGAGACACGGUCCAGACUCCUACGGGAGGCAGCAGUGGGGAAUUUUGGACAAUGGGCGCAAGCCUGAUCCAGCAAUGCCGCGUGAGUGAAGAAGGCCUUCGGGUUGUAAAGCUCUUUUGUCAGGGAAGAAACGGCUGGGGAUAAUACCCUCGGCUAAUGACGGUACCUGAAGAAUAAGCACCGGCUAACUACGUGCCAGCAGCCGCGGUAAUACGUAGGGUGCAAGCGUUAAUCGGAAUUACUGGGCGUAAAGCGUGCGCAGGCGGUUUUGUAAGUCUGUCGUGAAAGCCCCGGGCUCAACCUGGGAAUUGCGAUGGAGACUGCAAGGCUUGAAUCUGGCAGAGGGGGGUAGAAUUCCACGUGUAGCAGUGAAAUGCGUAGAGAUGUGGAGGAACACCGAUGGCGAAGGCAGCCCCCUGGGUCAAGAUUGACGCUCAUGCACGAAAGCGUGGGGAGCAAACAGGAUUAGAUACCCUGGUAGUCCACGCCCUAAACGAUGUCUACUAGUUGUCGGGUCUUAAUUGACUUGGUAACGCAGCUAACGCGUGAAGUAGACCGCCUGGGGAGUACGGUCGCAAGAUUAAAACUCAAAGGAAUUGAC